rnacentral:rRNA from 1 species
AUUGAACGCUGGCGGCAUGCUUUACACAUGCAAGUCGAACGGUAACAGGUUAAGCUGACGAGUGGCGAACGGGUGAGUAAUGCAUCGGAACGUGCCCGAUCGUGGGGGAUAACGCAGCGAAAGCUGCGCUAAUACCGCAUACGAUCUAAGGAUGAAAGCGGGGGACCGUAAGGCCUCGCGCGAUCGGAGCGGCCGAUGUCAGAUUAGGUAGUUGGUGGGGUAAAGGCUCACCAAGCCAACGAUCUGUAGCUGGUCUGAGAGGACGACCAGCCACACUGGGACUGAGACACGGCCCAGACUCCCACGGGAGGAAGCAGUGGGGAAUUUUGGACAAUGGGCGAAAGCCUGAUCCAGCAAUGCCGCGUGCAGGAAGAAGGCCUUCGGGUUGUAAACUGCUUUUGUACGGAGCGAAAAGGUCUCCUCUAAUACAGGGGGCUCAUGACGGUACCGUAAGAAUAAGCACCGGCUAACUACGUGCCAGCCGCCGCUGUAA